rnacentral:rRNA from 1 species
AGCCACUCAUUUAAAGAGUGCGUAACAGCUCACUAGUCGAGAGGUCUAGCGCCGAAAAUGUCCGGGGCUAAAACACACCACCGAAGCUACGGAAUUACCUAUGGUAAUUGGUAGAGGAGCAUUCUGUAAGGAUGAAGCACAAUUGAAAGAGAGUGUGGACGAAACAGAAGAGAGAAUGCCGGAAUGAGUAGCGAGAUAUAUGUGAGAAUCAUAUAGGUCGAAUGUCUAAGGUUUCCUGGGUAAAGCUGAUCUGCUCAGGGUAAGUCGGGACCUAAGGUGAGGGCGAGAGCCGUAAUCGAUGGACAACAGGUAGAAAUUCCUGUACUACGUAUAAUCAGAACUGUGGGGACGCAGGAGGAUAGGAAAACCGGAGAAUGGAAAAAUCCGGCUAAGUACAAAGGUGUGAGUGAUAGGCAAAUCCGUCACUAUUAGCUGAAGUACGAAUGGGAGCGAAGAAAAGUAGCGAAGUUUCUGAAUCCACACUGUCAAGAAAAGCCGCUAUUGCGUUAUACGUACCCGUACCGCAAACCGACACAGGUAGACGAGGAGAAAAUCCACAGACCGACGGGAGAAGUGUUGUUAAGGAACUCGGCAAAAUGACCCCGUAACUUAGGGAUAAGGGGAGCCAACGCAAGUUGGUCACAGAAAAGAGGCUCAAGCGACUGUUUAGCAAAAACAUAGGUCUAUGCGAAACCGUAAGGUGAUGUAUAUGGGCUGACACCUGCCCGGUGCUGGAAGGUCAAAAGGAGAGGUUAGCGUAAGCGAAGCUUUGAAUUCAAGCCCCAGUAAACGGCGGCCGUAACUAUAACGGUCCUAAGGUAGCGAAAUUCCUUGUCAGGUAAGUUCUGACCCGCACGAAAGGUGUAACGAUUUGAGCACUGUCUCGACAACACGCCCGGUGAAAUUGAAGAACCAGUGAAGAUACUGGUUACCCGCAACAGGACGGAAAGACCCCAUGGAGCUUUACUGCAGCUUAAUAUUGGGAUUCGGUAUUGUAUGUACAGGAUAGGAGGGAGACUAAGAAGCUAGCACGCCAGUGUUGGUGGAGUCGAUGGUGGGAUACCACUCUUAUAAUACUGGAUUUCUAACCUACUUCCGUGAUCCGGAAGAGGGACAUUGUUAGGCGGGCAGUUUGACUGGGGCGGUCGCCUCCGAAAGAGUAACGGAGGCGCUCAAAGGUCUUCUCAGAAUGAUUGGAAACCAUUCAAAGAGUGUAAAGGCAAAAGAAGGCUUGACUGCGAGAGUGACAACUCGAGCAGGUACGAAAGUAGGACUUAGUGAUCCGGUGGUAACAAGUGGGAGUGCCAUCGCUCAACGGAUAAAAGCUACCCUGGGGAUAACAG